GUCCCCCAGGACUCCGGCGGCGUCGUGUUUCUCAACCCCAUGUUUACCAUACCUUUGUUGCUUUGGCGGGCCUUGAGUAGGCUAUACGGCUCAUGCCGGCCCCAGGCUUUGUUGCCUGGGGGCGGCUCGCGCCCCCCAGAGGUUUAAACCAAAUCCUAUUUAUCAGUGAUGUCUGAGCAAAUAUUAAAUAAUCAAAACUUUCAACAACGGAUCUCUUGGUUCUGGCAUCGAUGAAGAACGCAGCGAAAUGCGAUAAGUAAUGUGAAUUGCAGAAUUCAGUGAAUCAUCGAAUCUUUGAACGCACAUUGCGCCCCUCGGUAUUCCGGGGGGCAUGCCUGUUCGAGCGUCAUUACACCCCUCAAGCGUAGCUUGGUAUUGGAAUUCGCGGGCCCUUUUGUAGGGGCUCGCGGGUCCGAAAAGCAGUGGCGGUCCCGGAGGAUUUCGCGCGUAGUAAACAUUAUCCCGCGUUGGAAAGAAUCGGUGGGCUUGCCAAAACCCCCCAUAAUCUCCAUGAUUGACCUCGGAUCAGGUAGGGAUACCCGCUGAACUUAAGCAUAUCAAUAA
rnacentral:rRNA from 1 species